AGAUUGAACGCUGGCGGCAUGCCUUACACAUGCAAGUCGAACGGCAGCACGGGAGCAAUCCUGGUGGCGAGUGGCGAACGGGUGAGUAAUACAUCGGAACGUGCCCAAUCGUGGGGGAUAACGCAGCGAAAGCUGUGCUAAUACCGCAUAAGAUCUACGGAUGAAAGCAGGGGAUCGCAAGACCUUGCGCGAAUGGAGCGGCCGAUGGCAGAUUAGGUAGUUGGUGAGGUAAAGGCUCACCAAGCCUUCGAUCUGUAGCUGGUCUGAGAGGACGACCAGCCACACUGGGACUGAGACACGGCCCAGACUCCUACGGGAGGCAGCAGUGGGGAAUUUUGGACAAUGGGCGAAAGCCUGAUCCAGCCAUGCCGCGUGCAGGAUGAAGCCUUCGGUUGUAAACUGCUUUGUACGAACGAAAGUCUCUUUCUAAUAAAGAGGAUCAUGACGUACCGUAAGAAUAAGCACGGCUAACUACGUACG
rnacentral:rRNA from 1 species